ACUUCAGGUUCCUCACCAACGCUUACUCCCCGACAAAAGAAGGUAUGAUCAUCAAAAGGAAAAGCGGGGAGAUCCCAUGUCCUCUGGCUGUUGAGGCGUUUGCAGCGCACCUCAGCUACAUCUGCAAAUACGACGACAAGUACAGCAAGUACUUCAUCUUCCACAAGCCCAACAAGACCUGGCAGCAGGUGUUCUGGUUGAGCAUCAGCAUCGCCAUCA